rnacentral:rRNA from 1 species
GACGAACGCUGGCGGCGUGCUUAACACAUGCAAGUCGAACGGAAAGGCCCUGCUUUUGUGGGGUGCUCGAGUGGCGAACGGGUGAGUAACAAGUGAGUAACCUGCCCUUGACUUUGGGAUAACUUCAGGAAACUGGGGCUAAUACCGGAUAGGAGCUCCUGCUGCAUGGUGGGGGUUGGAAAGUUUCGGCGGUUGGGGAUGGACUCGCGGCUUAUCAGCUUGUUGGUGGGGUAGUGGCUUACCAAGGCUUUGACGGGUAGCCGGCCUGAGAGGGUGACCGGCCACAUUGGGACUGAGAUACGGCCCAGACUCCUACGGGAGGCAGCAGUGGGGAAUAUUGCACAAUGGGCGGAAGCCUGAUGCAGCAACGCCGCGUGCGGGAUGACGGCCUUCGGGUUGUAAACCGCUUUCGCCUGUGACGAAGCGUGAGUGACGGUAAUGGGUAAAGAAGCAACGGCUAACUACGUG